rnacentral:misc_RNA from 1 species
UUUUUUCUUCUUCUUUUUUACGUUAAAAAACAACAAAUUCGAAUCAGGAAAUAGAUGACGUACGGUAUAGGCCUACUCGAUUCCCGCUACCAAAAGUAGGCAACAUUGACCUGUGACCUCUCCCAGAAUUCAUUGCGCUAAACCGGAAAUAAUCGGAACUCCGAAAUGAUAUAAUUUUCUCUGUAAUUUACGACGAUAGUAAGCUACGCCGCGUCGUGUAACGAAAUGGCGAUCGUACAAAAUCAAAUGAAGGUCUCAUGAUACGGUGCCGCUCCCAGGUGAAUACAAUGUCAUGUGGAUGCGAAGGGCUCCGAAGUUGUUUUGUGUGAUUCCUCGGAAAUUAGACCAGGAUAAUUCACUUAUUUUGGAGGAUGUCGCCCCUGUGGAAGAUACUCGUACGGGCAGCUGCCAGAAGUCCGCCAGUGAGGGUGAUCAGACCCUUCGCCGUCAUUCGUCACUUUUGGAUCUAGUGCAGUCCUGGGAUAUCUCCCGGCCAACACAAAAUUUCGGUUGUCCCAGCAUGGAGUUCGUUUACUCCCUGCAGGAGUGUCUCAGGUAUGUUGCGGACAAGAAUCUCAUAUGAAUAUAGAUGGACAGAAGACUGACACAGAACAGAGUUGCCAAGCCCAAGCCAAUGGUCAGCUGGACAGCUGAGUAUAGAAGAGGGGAGACUGAUAGAGUGCUUAAUAUAUCUUCAGCACAACACGAGGUCAACGAUCAGGUCAGGUACUGAUGGCAUCUGUUUUCGACUGAUCCUGGAGGAAGCAUGUAUAGAAGGAGGAAGCACCUUUGACGCUAUUAACAGUAAAUACGUGCACAACAUCUGCAAUGACUCUGAAGAUAAAAGGUGGACAUAGCUGUUCAACGGUAGAGCCUAAAGACAUUUUUACCAAUAUAAUUCCCAUACACGACAAAUUGUGGACCUAACUGAGAUUUGAAAUCUACUGGAAUCAAGAUAUUCAAUCUGAUAACAGUUAGAUGCCUACCUCAUAGAAGUCACAAUGGAGACAAGUUUAAACAAUGGACAAAUUAAACACAAUAAUGAGGAAUCUGGAUUUAGCUUGAUGAUAAAAUGUCUAUGCAAUGUGAUCAGUCGCAGGAUGGAUUCCCCUUAUGGACUCAUUGGGCUUUUUCUGGGUACAGCUGGUGCAUCAACAAAGGAUUAUUAAACUAUGCAGUGUGUGUUGUCCUGUCAUGAACUGUACAGAUUUCUGGCAGUUCAAGCUUCUCAAAGAAAUUAUCAGACUUCAUCUGAAAUGAACUGAACGCCAAUGAACAGAACUGAACGGGCGUGGGAUGGACGUACCUGAUCCUCUUUUGGAUGUAGGCACGCUAAUUAAGUAAAAGAAAGAAAGAACUGAACUUCAACAGUGUUCAUUUAUAUUUAGUGCAGCACAAGGUUUACGAAGAGUCAGUUUACAUCCAAUGAAAUCGUUCACAAAAAGAAUAAAAUUAUCAGAUUGAACUGAACCCCAGUGAACAGGACGGAACUGAACGGAACGUGUGCUUCAACAGUGUUCCUCUAUAUUUAGUGUAGCACAGGAAGUGCAAGACUAUCUUCUAGUGGAAACAUUUUUUGUGCUGUCUGCUGGUAGUGAAGCCACUAUAGGAUGUAUACAUUAUAAGAGAUUAUUAAACGUUCUUACAAAUGUGUUGUCAGAAACCUGUGGUCUUUGUGCAAUUGUUCUGCGUUGGAUUUCAAAGAAGGAGAAAACUGUUACACAGCAUAACAUAAUGGAAUUCAUGAACGCAUCUGAACUCAAAUGAACCGGUGCUGGCAUAGCAAGCAUAUGUAUUUUAGAAUAACAAGUAGUGCAAGAGGGGGCCAUCCAAUAGAAACAUUUUAAAUACUAGUUGUUAAUCAGACAUCAUAUAAUAUUAACUAAUAUUUUCCAUAGGACUCUUAUAGAAAUGAUAUAUGACAGCGGUAGAACAUAUUUGUUUUACCAAUACCAUCCACGCAUAAAAUAAACUAUAAACGUAUCCACCAUACACAACACCUAUGCCAUUUAUCACUGGCGUAGGAAGCGGGGUGGUAGGGGUGUGGGUAGUGGCGGUUGGGUAGCAGCAGCGAUGGUUUAUAUACAUUUAUUUAUUCAUCUGCUACCCCCUCUUUUAGCACCUUCCUACGCCUCUGAUUAUAAUGAUCAUCAUCUUCUUUUCUUCUUCAUGUUAUUAUUUUUUGUAGUAGUGUAGUACUAGUAUUGUUUAUUAUUAUUAUGGUAUCGGUGGUUAUCAUAAUUAAUAUUAUUAUUUUAAAUCUGCAGCUACUAUUCAUUCAGUUCUGGAAGAGUCCUAAAGUAAACUUCAUAUCCUUAUUAGCUGAUAUAAACCCAAGCAUUUACAUGUGCAGUCAUAUUUGACAAUGCAACGAUAAAUAUGUUACAGUUUUGAGCUUUGUGAAUUAAAUGUAUUUU